GACGAACGCUGGCGGCGUGCUUAACACAUGCAAGUCGAACGGAAAGGCCCUGCUUUUGUGGGGUGCUCGAGUGGCGAACGGGUGAGUAACACGUGAGUAACCUGCCCUUGACUUUGGGAUAACUUCAGGAAACUGGGGCUAAUACCGGAUAGGAGCUCCUGCUGCAUGGUGGGGGUUGGAAAGUUUCGGCGGUUGGGGAUGGACUCGCGGCUUAUCAGCUUGUUGGUGGGGUAGUGGCUUACCAAGGGUUUGACGGGUAGCCGGCCUGAGAGGGUGACCGGCCACAUUGGGACUGAGAGACGGCCCAGACUCCUACGGGAGGCAGCAGUGGGGAAUAUUGCACAAUGGGCGGAAGCCUGAUGCAGCAACGCCGCGUGCGGGAUGACGGCCUGCGGGUUGUAAACCGCUUUCGCCUGUGACGAAGCGGGAGUGACGGUAAUGGGUAAAGAAGCACCGGCUAACUACGUG
rnacentral:rRNA from 1 species